GACAGACCCAUCUGUAUGGACUAGAAUUGCUGUGUUCGUCUGUUUUGCCGUUUGUAUGAAUUUCCCCAUUCGUAUGCUUUGUUUAAGGGAAUGUCUUUUUUUUGUCGAACGGAACUACCGAACGGACGGCCACCCAGAAGAGAAGUGUGCUGCUGGUUAACCUAUUGAUCCCAAUUAGAACGUUGCGGUUAACCACAGACACUUCUCAAU